rnacentral:misc_RNA from 1 species
UAUAUGCUACAAAGUACAAAUAUUUCCUGAGUUGGUCACCUGAAAACCAAACUCUACCAAAAUAUGAUCCCCUUAGUAGUUUAGUUUAGAUAGAUAGGAUAACAAGCUCAGAGCUCAGUGUGAACAAUGUGCUGUUCAGUAGGGAGUUGCACUGCCUCCAGCUCCGGAACUUGGGUCUGAUCUGAAGCUGCAAAGUCAUUGUCGCUGGAAGUUAAGCAGUCUGCCGAUGGGUGCACAACCCCAUAUCCAAAGCCUUGAGCGGCGUGGCAAUAGGUCUCCACUGUUCCAUCCGUUUUCUCCAAGUUGACAUUGCUCAGAAUUAUGUUGCUGCAUGGAACACUGUCGCUACAGGCGAAUUUCAUCGCGUUCUUGCUCGUCGUGGUUCCACUUAUGUUCCGAUACAUGAUUUGGCUUAUUUUCACAGCAGAUGUCUGAGUUUCACAGGCAGUAGGAGAGUCACAGUAGAACUGAUCGAUGAUAAUGGGGUUCUCAACAUCUUCCAUUCUCACAUUUUCAAAUCGUACAGAACGAACAUAUCCAGAACCUCCCUGCCAAGUCUUGAUUCUAACACCAUUUGUUGUCUCUCUGAGGAAAGCUGUGUCUAACACCACCUUUGUCACAAUGCCAGUGGAGUUGUCUUUCCCUAAACUUCCAAUGCUGAUCCCAUGUCCUGGUCCACAUGAUAUUCCCUUCAUCUUGAUGCCAGAGCUAGCAUUGACAAUGGAGAUGCAGUCAUCACCUGUUGAAAUCUUGCAGUUUUGAACUACAACAUUAGUUGAUUGAGUGAUGUGGAUCCCGUCGGUAUUCGGGCUAUCUCCUGGAGCUGAGACUCUAACCUCUGUAAUUCGAACAGUCUCAGAUCGUGCAAUGAUGAAAUGCAUUUGUUGGCUGUUUUGAAUAGUAAGGCCUUUUACUCUUAUAUUUGAACUUGAGUCAAUGGUUAAUGCUGUUGGUGCUCCUUUGCAAGGCCUGGACUUGUUCUUUUUGCAGGAUUCUGCCCACCAUUUCUCACCGGAGCCGUCAAUAACUCCAUCUCCUUGAAAGGUAGCUGCAUUUAAUUUUGUAAAUUCCAGCCAUUGUCGCGGAAACUUUGGAUCCCAUUGCUCGGGUUCAUCUGGUGCAACUAUUGUUCCUUCAAUCUGGAUUACCAUACCAUCUUUGCAUGGCCCUUUAAAAGUGGUUGCAUUCACCAGAUAUCUCCUUUCUUUUGGCACCAAAAGAACUGAUUUUGAAGUGCUGCAGGCAGUCUCCCAUGCCUUCCUGAAAGCCAUAGUAUCAUCUGUAACUCCAUCUCCAACUGCGUCGAAACUAUCCACAUUCAUCAAAACCUUGCUCCCACGCUCACUUCUCCACACUGGGACGGUGUACGAGUCCACCGCAUUGUCGUCCUCUUCUUCAAUGUCGAAACUUUCAAGUUCUUUAAUCAUGUCAAUGUCACUAUCAGGCAUGAUACUACCUGAAACUCCGUAGGCAAUGAUCAACAUUCCAAGAAGGGAAAGCAGAAAGAAUUUAUCCAUUUCAG